UACGUAGGGCGCGAGCGUUGUCCGGAAUUAUUGGGCGUAAAGAGCUCGUAGGCGGCCUGUCGCGUCGGUUGUGAAAGUCCGGGGCUCAACUCCGGAUCUGCGGUGGGUACGGGCAGACUAGAGUGAUGUAGGGGAGACUGGAAUUCCUGGUGUAGCGGUGAAAUGCGCAGAUAUCAGGAGGAACACCGAUGGCGAAGGCAGGUCUCUGGGCAUUAACUGACGCUGAGGAGCGAAAGCAUGGGGAGCGAACAGG
rnacentral:rRNA from 1 species